UGGGGUGUAGCUCAGUGGCAGAGAGCUUGCCUAGCAUGUGAGGGGCACUGCGUUCGAGUCUCAGAACCACAU
rnacentral:tRNA from 1 species